rnacentral:rRNA from 1 species
GGUCAAGUGAAGAAGCGCAUACGGUGGAUGCCUUGGCAGUCAGAGGCGAUGAAAGACGUGGUAGCCUGCGAAAAGCUUCGGGGAGUCGGCAAACAGACUUUGAUCCGGAGAUGUCUGAAUGGGGGAACCCAGCCAUCAUAAGAUGGUUACCUUACACUGAAUACAUAGGUGUAUGGAGCGAACCAGGGGAACUGAAACAUCUAAGUACCCUGAGGAAAAGAAAUCAACCGAGAUUCCCUUAGUAGUGGCGAGCGAACGGGGACUAGCCCUUAAGUGGCUUUGAGAUUAGCGGAACGCUCUGGAAAGUGCGGCCAUAGUGGGUGAUAGCCCUGUACGCGAAAAUCUCUUAGUCAUGAAAUCGAGUAGGACGGAGCACGAGAAACUUUGUCUGAAUAUGGGGGGACCAUCCUCCAAGGCUAAAUACUACUGACUGACCGAUAGUGAACUAGUACCGUGAGGGAAAGGCGAAAAGAACCCCGGAGAGGGGAGUGAAAUAGAUCCUGAAACCGUAUGCGUACAAGCAGUGGGAGCCCACUUUGUUGGGUGACUGCGUACCUUUUGUAUAAUGGGUCAGCGACUUAUUUUCAGUGGCGAGCUUAACCGAAUAGGGGAGGCGUAGCGAAAGCGAGUCUUAAUAGGGCGUCUAGUCGCUGGGAAUAGACCCGAAACCGGGCGAUCUAUCCAUGGGCAGGUUGAAGGUUGGGUAACACUAACUGGAGGACCGAACCGACUACCGUUGAAAAGUUAGCGGAUGACCUGUGGAUCGGAGUGAAAGGCUAAUCAAGCUCGGAGAUAGCUGGUUCUCCUCGAAAGCUAUUUAGGUAGCGCCUCAUGUAUCACUGUAGGGGGUAGAGCACUGUUUCGGCUAGGGGGUCAUCCCGACUUACCAAACCGAUGCAAACUCCGAAUACCUACAAGUGCCGAGCAUGGGAGACACACGGCGGGUGCUAACGUCCGUCGUGAAAAGGGAAACAACCCAGACCGUCAGCUAAGGUCCCAAAGUUAUGGUUAAGUGGGAAACGAUGUGGGAAGGCUUAGACAGCUAGGAGGUUGGCUUAGAAGCAGCCACCCUUUAAAGAAAGCGUAAUAGCUCACUAGUCGAGUCGGCCUGCGCGGAAGAUGUAACGGGGCUCAAACCAUACACCGAAGCUACGGGUAUCACGUAAGUGAUGCGGUAGAGGAGCGUUCUGUAAGCCUGUGAAGGUGAGUUGAGAAGCUUGCUGGAGGUAUCAGAAGUGCGAAUGCUGACAUGAGUAACGACAAUGGGUGUGAAAAACACCCACGCCGAAAGACCAAGGUUUCCUGCGCAACGUUAAUCGACGCAGGGUUAGUCGGUCCCUAAGGCGAGGCUGAAAAGCGUAGUCGAUGGAAAACAGGUUAAUAUUCCUGUACUUCUGGUUAUUGCGAUGGAGGGACGGAGAAGGCUAGGCCAGCUUGGCGUUGGUUGUCCAAGUUUAAGGUGGUAGGCUGGAAUCUUAGGUAAAUCCGGGAUUCUAAGGCCGAGAGCUGAUGACGAGAUCAUCUUUUAGAUGACGAAGUGGUUGAUGCCAUGCUUCCAAGAAAAGCUUCUAAGCUUCAGGUAACCAGGAACCGUACCCCAAACCGACACAGGUGGUUGGGUAGAGAAUACCAAGGCGCUUGAGAGAACUCGGGUGAAGGAACUAGGCAAAAUGGCACCGUAACUUCGGGAGAAGGUGCGCCGGUGAGGGUGAAGGACUUGCUCCGUAAGCUCAUGCCGGUCGAAGAUACCAGGCCGCUGCGACUGUUUAUUAAAAACACAGCACUCUGCAAACACGAAAGUGGACGUAUAGGGUGUGACGCCUGCCCGGUGCCGGAAGGUUAAUUGAUGGGGUUAGCUAACGCGAAGCUCUUGAUCGAAGCCCCGGUAAACGGCGGCCGUAACUAUAACGGUCCUAAGGUAGCGAAAUUCCUUGUCGGGUAAGUUCCGACCUGCACGAAUGGCGUAACGAUGGCGGCGCUGUCUCCACCCGAGACUCAGUGAAAUUGAAAUCGCUGUGAAGAUGCAGUGUAUCCGCGGCUAGACGGAAAGACCCCGUGAACCUUUACUAUAGCUUUGCACUGGACUUUGAAUUUGCUUGUGUAGGAUAGGUGGGAGGCUUUGAAGCGUGGACGCCAGUCUGCGUGGAGCCAACCUUGAAAUACCACCCUGGCAACUUUGAGGUUCUAACUCAGGUCCGUUAUCCGGAUCGAGGACAGUGUAUGGUGGGUAGUUUGACUGGGGCGGUCUCCUCCUAAAGAGUAACGGAGGAGUACGAAGGUGCGCUCAGACCGGUCGGAAAUCGGUCGUAGAGUAUAAAGGCAAAAGCGCGCUUGACUGCGAGACAGACACGUCGAGCAGGUACGAAAGUAGGUCUUAGUGAUCCGGUGGUUCUGUAUGGAAGGGCCAUCGCUCAACGGAUAAAAGGUACUCCGGGGAUAACAGGCUGAUACCGCCCAAGAGUUCAUAUCGACGGCGGUGUUUGGCACCUCGAUGUCGGCUCAUCACAUCCUGGGGCUGAAGCCGGUCCCAAGGGUAUGGCUGUUCGCCAUUUAAAGUGGUACGCGAGCUGGGUUUAGAACGUCGUGAGACAGUUCGGUCCCUAUCUGCCGUGGACGUUUGAGAUUUGAGAGGGGCUGCUCCUAGUACGAGAGGACCGGAGUGGACGAACCUCUGGUGUUCCGGUUGUCACGCCAGUGGCAUUGCCGGGUAGCUAUGUUCGGAAUAGAUAACCGCUGAAAGCAUCUAAGCGGGAAACUAGCCUCAAGAUGAGAUCUCACUGGAACCUUGAGUUCCCUGAAGGGCCGUCGAAGACUACGACGUUGAUAGGUUGGGUGUGUAAGCGCUGUGAGGCGUUGAGCUAACCAAUACUAAUUGCCCGUGAGGCUUGACCAU